rnacentral:misc_RNA from 1 species
AAAAAUAAUUACAAUGCAACAAUUUCAAGUUUCAGCUCAACUCUCAACUUGGUUUGUCAAGUUCUGUACUAAUGGAAGAUCAUCAAGCCAGUCACCAUAGAUACGAUUUAUUUUCUUGGGUCCUUUCCACUUCAACAAGCAUUUCUUACUCUGCGCUUCUUCAAUGACAUUAGGCACACUUGCAGUCGUACUUGGAGAUGCAUUAUUAGCAAGAACAGGUGGUUUGGUCAAAAUUGAGCCUGCAUUUUCCCCUUCAGCACGUCCUCCAGGAACUUUUAACUCAGCUUGUCCAUGAGCAAAGUGACA